rnacentral:lncRNA from 1 species
CCCACACGUCGAACAUGCGUGUUCUACUGCGGUUCACGUAAUUUUCCAUUGUCUCCUUCUCCCGCCUUAUAUGUCAACUACCAUUAAGAAAACUGGAUCGACGAAGAAGCAGAGUGGCAGAGUUGCAGCGUCAGCGAUUCAAAGAAAGGCUCGCUCGGAUACUUGGAUCGCGGAUCUGAAGUAAAUGGAUGUUGUGAGGUAUUGAACAUGGCUUACUAACACAAGUUUCAAUGCACGGAUUACGGGGACGACAAGAGGAGAACUAGACGUGUGUUACCCUUGGCUCGGUGGAGCGUGAAUUAGUGUAGUUUUGGGUAGUUUUUGCAUGCGGACGAAGAUGAAACGCCGAGGAAACAUUCGUCUGUUUCUCGCAUCGGCAGUAGUAUCACACAAUGCAGCGAAAGACAGAGAAGAACAUCAGGGCAGUAACCGAAGCUGACCUCUGAGACAACCUGAUUCUCCGCCUGCCUGCUGCAAUCGAAAGAGCGGUAUCGGCAUGGACAGGUUGCACCUCCACUCCUCCACGGACCAGCGACCACUUGUCGAUUUGGUUUGUUUGUCAUCAACGAUGCUCGAGCACUCCGUAGUUUUC